AAGUCGUAACAAGGUCUCCGUAGGUGAACCUGCGGAGGGAUCAUUACCGAGUUAGGGUCUCACCGGCCCGAUCUCCCAACCCUUUGUCUACUUGACCAUCGUUGCUUCGGCGAGCCCGUCCUCACGGACCGCCGGGGGGUCUUUGUACCCCUUGGCCCGCGCUCGUCGAUAGCCCCCAAAUUUAAAAAAUCUUAACUAAACGUGUCUUGAAUCUAAGUAUUAUUGUUAAAUAAAAACAAAACUUUCAACAACGGAUCUCUUGGUUCUGGCAUCGAUGAAGAACGCAGCGAAAUGCGAUAAGUAAUGCGAAUUGCAGAAUUCCAGUGAGUCAUCGAAUCUUUGAACGCACAUUGCGCCCUUUGGUAUUCCGAAGGGCAUGCCUGUUCGAGCGUCAUUAUCACCCCUCAAGCCCUCGGCUUGGUGUUGGACGGUUUGGUGGAGACCCCCCUCGGGUGGGCUUCUACCCCUCCCAAAGACAAUGACGGCGGCCUCGUUGGACCCCCGGUACACUGAGUUCUUCACGGGACACGUAUCGGACACAUGGCUUUACGGGACACGGUCUGCCUCCCCUCAGGGAGAAUCUUUUUUUUAUCAAGGUUGACCUCGGAUCAGGUAGGGAUACCCGCUGAACUUAA
rnacentral:rRNA from 1 species